rnacentral:rRNA from 1 species
UACGUAGGGGGCAAGCGUUGUCCGGAUUUAUUGGGCGUAAAGAGCGUGUAGGCGGCCAGAUAGGUCUGUUGUGAAAACUCGAGGCUCAACCUCGAGACGCCGAUGGAAACCAUCUGGCUAGAGUCCGGAAGAGGAGAGUGGAAUUCCUGGUGUAGCGGUGAAAUGCGCAGAUAUCAAGAAGAACACCCGUGGCUAAGGCGGCUCUCUAGUACGGUACUGACGCUGAGACGCGAAAGCGUGGGGAGCGAACAGG